rnacentral:rRNA from 1 species
GGUGUCGGUGGCCGCAGGCCUAGACAUGCACGUCGAGCGGCCGCGGGAAGUAUCUUGCUCCUUUUGCCGGCGAGCGGCGGACGGAGGAGUAAUGCCUGGGAAAUUGCCCACUUGUGGGGGAUAACUACUGGAAACGGUGGCUAAUACCGCAUACGCCCUACGGGGGAAAGCAGGGGACCUUCGGGCCUUGCGCGAUUGGAUAUGCCCAGGUGGGAUUAGCUAGUUGGUGAGGUAAUGGCUCACCAAGGCGACGAUCUCUAGCUGGUCUGAGAGGAUGAUCAGCCACACUGGGACUGAGACACGGCCCAGACUCCUACGGGAGGCAGCAGUGGGGAAUAUUGCACAAUGGGGGAAACCCUGAUGCAGCCAUGCCGCGUGUGUGAAGAAGGCCUUCGGGUUGUAAAGCACUUUCAGCGAGGAGGAAAGGGUGUUGGCUAAUAUCCAGCACCUGUAGCGUUACUCGCAGAAG